UGCUAGCUAACCAAUGAGAAUUCAGAUUUGUUUAUCAUUACCAUAGCAACGCUAACUUCCCCUGGAAUUGUUGGAUAGGAACCGUCCGUAGCCUGUCGCAAGAGCUCAAUUUUUUGAACGCAUCCGGAUGACCAACUGACA